rnacentral:rRNA from 1 species
UACGUAGGGUCCGAGCGUUGUCCGGAAUUACUGGGCGUAAAGAGCUCGUAGGUGGUUUGUCACGUUGUUCGUGAAAACCCACAGCUCAACUGUGGGCGUGCGAGCGAUACGGGCAGACUAGAGUACUGCAGGGGAGACUGGAAUUCCUGGUGUAGCGGUGGAAUGCGCAGAUAUCAGGAGGAACACCGGUGGCGAAGGCGGGUCUCUGGGCAGUAACUGACGCUGGAGGAGCGAAAGCGUGGGGAGCGAACGGG